UACGUAGGGUGCAAGCGUUAAUCGGAAUUACUGGGCGUAAAGCGUGCGCAGGCGGUUUUGUAAGUCUGUCGUGAAAUCCCCGGGCUCAACCUGGGAACUGCAUUUGUGACUGCAUGGCUAGAGUACGGCAGAGGGGGAUGGAAUUCCGCGUGUAGCAGUGAAAUGCGUAGAUAUGCGGAGGAACACCGAUGGCGAAGGCAAUCCCCUGGGCCUGUACUGACGCUCAUGCACGAAAGCGUGGGGAGCAAACAGG
rnacentral:rRNA from 1 species